UUUCUACUCCCUUCGUCCGAAAAUACUUGUCAUCAAAAUGGAUAAAAAGAGAUGUAUCUAAAACUAAAAUACGUUUAGAUACAUUUCCUUUUAUCCAUUUUGAUGACAAGUAUUUCCGGACGGAGGGAGUAUUUG
rnacentral:pre_miRNA from 1 species